AUGACACUUUUUCACAAUGGCAGAACUAAUUUGCAUUCCCAAAUACAGUGUGCUGGAGUGCAGUGGUGUGAUAUGGGCUCACUGCAACAUUUAUCUCCUGGAUUCAAGCAGUUCUCCUGCCUCAGCCUCCUGAGUACCUGGGAUUACAGAUAUGUGCCACAACACCAGCUAAUUUUUGUAUUUUUAGUAGAAUGGGGUUUCACCAUGUUGGUCAGGCUGGUCUCAAACUCCUGACCUUGUAAUCUGCCCGCCUUGGCCUCCAAAAGUGCUGGGAUGACAAGAGUGAGUCACCGCAGCUGUCCCGAGUUCUCACUUCUUGAUGUGAGCAUUUAGUACUAUAAAUUUCUCUCAACACUACUUGAUUAGCUGCAUCCCAGAAACUCUGGUAAGUUGUAUCUUUGUUCUCAUUACUUUCAAAGAACUUCUUAAACUUCUUGAUUUCUGCCUUAAUGUCAUUAUUUAUCCAGGAGUCAUUCAGGAGCAAGUUACUCAGUUUCCAUGUAAGUGUAUGGUUUUGAAUGAAUUUCUUAGUCCUGAUUUCAAAUGUGAUUGCAUCUGCUUUGUGACCUAAGGUAUCUUCUAUACUUAUGAAUGAUCUAUGUGUUGAGUUGAAAAAUGUGUAUUCUGCAGUCAUUGGAUGAAAUAUUCCUUGAAUAUCAGUUCCAUUUGGUCUGUAGUAAAGAUUAAAUUUCAUGUUGAUUGGUUGGUUUUCUGUCUGGAAGAUCUGUCCGGUGCUGAAAGUUGGGUGUUGUAGUCUCCAGCGAUUACUGUGUUAGGGUUUAUCUCUCUCUUUCUUAUUUGCUGCGUGUGUCUGUUCUUUUUUCUCUCUCUCUGUCUGUCUCUAUUUCUAUCUUUGGAAUUCUGAUCAUUUUAGUGUUGAACCUGUUCAAAUUUUCUUCCGGAUUUCAACUUUUUUCUUUCUACUCAACUUUGUUGUCUUACUAUUCUAACAAGAAUUUUUCACAAGUUCUGCUGUCAUAUUUUUAAUUUCCAAGCGUUUGCUUUUUCUUUAAAUUUGGUUCUUGUUUCAUGAAAAUGGUAACACUUUUAUCUCUUCGAGAACAUUCAUAUGAGUUUCAGAAGGUCUUAUCUCCUAGCACAGCCCUCAUUCAGGCUGCAUUUAUGUGUCUUCUUGCUCUGGUCUCGGCCAUUCAUGUUAGAAGCUUUGCUCAGAUGCCUGGUGACCCUUAGCUGUCUGUGUCUGUUAGAAAAAAAUGGAGAACUGAAAAGCUAAAAGCUGAUGGAAGUUCUGUGAUUGUAACAUUUUGUGGGCAGUGGUCUUGCUGGGUCAGACCUUUUCUUCUUGAGCAAGAGAGAUUCUCUCUAGAGAAAAAUCAUCUUAACUUCUGACCAAGUGUCUGCCACCCUCAUUGGAACUAAGUGGUAGGAAAACCUGGAGGAUCUCAGUGUUCAGUGUGUACAUUUAAGCACUUGUGUCUAGAGAGCUCCUGCCUAGAGACACCAAAUUUUACCCUAUAGAGAGGAAACCUCCACCCUGCCACCACCGUGGGAUGCAGUCACCCAUUCUAGGGAGAGGAUCUGGGAUCUACCUACUACUGAAACAUAAAUUCCCUAGGUAAAUUUAGCUGCCAACUCUUGAACCCUUGGGGAUCCUGGUUGCCUUCCUGCCACUGGCUUGGGAUUUAGCAUCUCUGGGUCUACUGUCAGGUGUCACUGACAGCUUCUGCUUGCCAGUUUUCUAUAUGCUGAAGGGAUUGUCUUUAUUUUCUUUUUAUCUUUGUUGGUUUAUUUAUUAUUAAUCAUCCCAUAUUAAUGUGGUUUAAUGAUGGAGUGAAGGCAUAUGCAGGUAUUCAACCAAACAUCUUAGCUGAAGUCUGUGUAUUUCUCUUGUAAUAAAAUCUUAAUCAUUCUAUGUUUCAGUUAAUCACUUUUUUUUUUUUUUUUUUUUUUUUUGAGACGGAGUUUUGCUCUUGUUACCCAGGCUGGAGUGCAAUGGCGCAAUCUCGGCUCACCGCAGCCUCCGCCUUUUGGGUUCAGGCAAUUCUCCUGCCUCAGCCUCCUGAGUAGCUGGGAUUACAGGCACGCGCCACCAUACCCAGCUGAUUUUUUGUAUUUUUAGUAGAGACGGGGUUUCA
rnacentral:lncRNA from 1 species